rnacentral:lncRNA from 1 species
UAAACUAAUGCAAUAAUUCAAUGAAGAUAUGGUAAUAGAGGUACAAUAGAAGUUCAAAAUAAAUAAGAAACAUGUUAGACAGGUUUGUGAAAUUCUUCAACUAUGGUAUCUGAUAGGAGUGAUGCUGAACAAGGCAGAUGUUACCGACUAGAUGUUAAAAGAAGAUUAAUUAAAAUGAGAAAAUGUCUUAGACCAGAAAAACUGAUGAAUUCGAUGAACCAAAGAGAAAUAAGCAUGCAACAUGAACAGCCAGAAGAAAGUUUUCAGGAACUAGUGGAAGAUUACUGAUGUGUUAUUGAAGGACUCAUUCAAGAGUAA